CCUACGGGGGGCAGCAGUAGGGAAUAUUGCUCAAUGGGGGAAACCCUGAAGCAGCAACGCCGCGUGGAGGAUGAAGGUGUUAGGAGUGGAAACUCCUUUUGAGAGAGAAGAGAAUGACGGUAGGUGACGAAUAAGGACCGGAUAACGCGGUGCCAGCAGCCGCGGUAAUACGGAGGGUGCACGGGUUACUCGGAAUCACUGGGCGGAAAGCGGGCGUAGGGGGGCUUGUAAGUCAGAUGUGCAAUCCUGUAGCUUAACGACAGAACUGCAUGUGAAACUAUGAGUCUAGAGUGUGGGAGAGGUAGGUGGAAUUCUUGGUGUAGCGGUCAAAUCCGUAGAUAUCACGAG
rnacentral:rRNA from 1 species